rnacentral:lncRNA from 1 species
UGGAAACUCUGGAACUUGUAGAAGCCCCUGGCAGUGACUCAAUUCAAGGACUCUCAGUUUAGAAAGUUGAAUGAUGCCUGCAAGUAUGCUACUAAAACAGUCCUUGCUUAGAUUUAGACCUGAAGCGUACAAACCCUCUAAACAUUGCAAACUCCUCAGGUUCUCGGGAAAUCUCUCAAGUUUUGUACAGAAACUGACAUUUAGAAUUUUGAGAGUUUUCAAAUUACAAAAGGCCUCUGGAAGACUCACAAGGUAUUGCGAGAUUCAAAUAUUGAAGCCCUCUUAGAUAUUGAAUUGAUGCUGGUAGUUCUUCGAUAGCAGUUCCAUCUAAAUGAAGCUCUCUUAUAUUUUCCACAUCCUCGAGGAUUUCCGGAAAGCUCCUUAAUCGUGAACAGCCUGAGCAGAAGAGAGUUGUAAGGGAUUUCAACUCACAUAUGCUACUGGGAAGAAGCUCAAGGUUUUUGCAUUCUCGCAAACAUAACCUAUUAAGUUUAUGGGGACACUCAACAGUGGGUAGUUCAUUGAUGGCAUUUCACUUUAAACAAAGCUUCCAUAGGGAUUGCACAUCCUCUUGACAUUCCCGGCAAACGGUGGAUAUCAUUGCUUUACCAUGGUUCUGUUCAUGAUCAUGGGCAUAUAUAAGAUGGAUCCCACACUCUUCUACUUUCACUGCUUUACCUCUCAAGUAGCCACAAAAUGAAGCCGUCAACUGCCUCCAUUUAUUUGAGUGGUACUUCUCCUCAAUCUCAUGCUUAGGAUAAUAAAUCAUCCACAUACAAGGUACAACAUAGACGUGAAAUGAGGGAUAAAACUGGAGUUUAUCCACAAACUGAAUUUCAUGACCACGCAAAGUUAAACCAUACUCGAAGUAAGUUGCACCAUUCUCCAGUGUCUCCUCAGAUUCAUUAUCCAGUGGAUAAUAGACACAGUACAAAACAAAACCCAACAAGUCGUCAUUUUUAUACCAAUUUUGAGGAAGCUUUGCUACUACUUCAGCUCCCUUUUUGUGAUGGCUUAUCCAAUCUGGAAUUCCACAACUUUCUGAAAUAAUAAGAUUUACUCGGGCAAAAGGUUUUUCUAAAGGAUAAAUCUUGCAUUCCAAAUCCUGCAGAAAAUUUAAUUAACACUUAAAUCCCCAUGUCUCCACAAAAAAAGUUUUGGUCUAUGAAUAUCAUACCUGAAUCAAUGAUUUGAAGCAGUUGAAUAGAGAAGACCAGAGUAGACCUGAAGAAGUUUCCAGCCGUUUGCACAAAUGUAUAUCUAAGACACGCAAACUGGAUGGAAGUGCUGGAAUUUGUCGAAGCUCUUGACAGUUACCCAAGACAAGGAGUCUCAGCCUAGAAAGUUGAUUGAUCCCAGCAGGUAUGCUCCUAAAAAGAUUCCCGAAUAGAAAUAAUUCUUGCAGAGAUGAUAGCUGGCAAAUUUCAGUGGGGAUUCCUCCUUCAUCUAUACCACACACACGUAGAUCUACAACUUCCAAGGAGUACAAGCAGCAAAUAUCACUCAGGACUACUCCUUGCAUUAGCUUUGAGUAAAUAAGAUCUAACUCCUUUAAGGAGCAUAAACCUGACAAAGAAAGCAAUUGGCAACAUCUUGAAUUUAAGCCCCUAGCACGGAGACACUUCAAGCUUUGCAGCCUCCCCAGGUUUUGUGGCAAUUUGUGGAGUUUUGAACAGUAAUUCACAUUGAGAUCUUCAAGAAAGCGUAAAUUACAAAUGCUUUCUGGAAGAGUCACAAGGUUUUUGCACCUCUCAAGAUUCAAAACUUGAAGCCUAUUCAAAUGUUCGAUUGAAGAUGGUAGCUCUUUUAUGGCCGUUCCGUUCAAGUGAAGCUGCCUUAAGUUUUCCAUAUUCUCCAAGAUUUCUGGGAAGUACUGUAAUUGUGAACAGUCAGAGCAAAAGAGAGAUUUUAGGGAUUUGAACUCCCAAAUGCUUGUUGGUAGACUCUCAAGGUUUUUGCACUCUCGCAAACAUAAGGUAUCAAAUUCAGAGGCACACUCAAUGGGUGGUAGGCUGAUUGUCUGACCCUUUAAACAAAGCUUUCGGUGUUCCACAUUCCUCUGACAUUCAGCGCAGCUAGCAUCCACAUCAUCAGUCUGUACUAUUGGAUCUUGGGCGUAUAUAGGUUCAAGCCCACACUUGAGCACCUUAAAAUGAUUGCGACAGCCCAUAAAUAUAGCCCCAAGAAACAUGGAUGGAUUGGUGUGACAGCUCUCCAGAAUAGCAGCCUUGGGAUAGAAUAUCACCCACAUUUGUUCUGAUCCACCUCCAUCAUGGUAGCAUUUACAAGUAGUGCGAAAACUGAGACGUUGCGCACACAGGGUAGAAAAUCCAUAUCUAUCAUGUAAUGACAAUUUACAUUCUAACCCAGUGGAGAUUGAAGAUUCAGCUUCAAGUAAAUCGUCAUAUUCAUUUAGGGCUUCGUCACCAGAUUCAUUCUCCGAUGUAUGUGCAAAAUCAUUUUCUGGUAUGUCCUCACAUUCAUCGUGUGGAGCAUAAACACAGCAUAUAGCAAUUCCCAAGAAGUCAUUAUUUUCGUAACAAUUCUGAGGAAGGUCCAUUGUGAUAUGAUUUCCCUCUCUCUGAUUCCUUAUCCACUUGGGAAUUCCACAGCUUCCCGGAACAACAAUACAGACUCCAUUGCCAAUGAAGUCAGAAUCACGGAGAAAUACUUCAUUUGAACUGCUCUUGUAUUUCAAAUCCUGUACAAAAGGACAAUGUAAAUCCUGUGGGUCUGUGCCAUUAUGUGAGUUUUUAUGAGAGAGUUUGUUAUCAGUUUUUGAUAAAUUGAUUCCCAGUUUUAACUUUCUUUGAUCUAUGCUCCUGAAUCUACUUAAUAUCCCUUUUAGAUGACGGAUUAUCAAUCAACAUGAAAGUGAGUGACAAGAUUAAGUGUGAAAACUGGAAGUGAGGGGAAACUGAAACUGAAAGUGAGUAGAAUAACCAGAUCUCUUCUUCACUUGCAGUAGCUUCUUCUCCAUUCAGAUACAGAGAUCUUAGAAUUGUAGCUUCAACUUAACUCUCAGAAUCUUAAAGACAAAGUUCGCUCAAGUUUCAAAAACUCACACAAAAAUUUCUCCUCAUGUUUCUCUUAAUCCUAUGAGGCGAGAGACAUGUAGCACACACUUAUUGGCUUUUUUACAUGCAAGUUUCAAGGUGGAGCGUCUAAUGAACUAAAACAUUCCCUCAAAUCCCAGUGGAAAUUCACACUAGAAAUUGCAGAAUUUGCUAAGGAAAAGUUUAAUUCAUUUAAUCCAUGAAUAAAAAAGUAUGUGAGAGCAUUUUAACAUCCUAAUACUUAUUAUAUUAAACUAUAAUUCUCAUUAUUUAAACUCAUGAUCCUUCACUUCAUCACCAAAUUUUGAAGACACUUUUGGCAUCUCUUCCAUGAAUUAAUUGAUGUUUAAGAAGGUAUAAUAAACUUUUAAUUGAAUUUAACAUUAUUUCUAUCCUAAUACUCAUCUUAAACUCUGUUUUUUUUUUUUUUAUACUCUUAUCAAAACAAAUAAAAACUUAACAAAAAAAUAAAGAUUUCAAUUACUCCGUGUUCAAAAGGGAAAAUGGCUAAAUGUCAUGAAAAUCAUACCUCAAUAGUUGAUUUAAAGCAUUUGAACAGAGAAACACCAAGUAGACAUGAUGGACUUGAUAAAACUUCCAAGCAUGUGCAACUGUGGACAUCUAGAACUCGUAAACUUGGUGGAAGCUCUGGAACUUGUAGAAGCCCCUGGCAGUGACUCAAUUCAAGGACUCUCAGUUUAGAAAGUUGAAUGAUGCCUGCAAGUAUGCUACUAAAACAGUCCUUGCUUAGAUUUAGACCUGAAGCGUACAAACCCUCUAAACAUUGCAAACUCCUCAGGUUCUCGGGAAAUCUCUCAAGUUUUGUACAGAAACUGACAUUUAGAAUUUUGAGCGUUUUCAACUUACAAAUGGCCUCUGGAAGACUCACAAGGUUGCUGCAAUCUGCAAGAUUCAAAUGUUGAAGCCCUCUUAGAUAUUGAAUUGAUGCUGGUAGUUCUUCUAUAGCAGUUCCAUCUAAAUGAAGCUCUCUUAUAUUUUCCACAUCCUCGAGGAUUUCCGGAAAGCUCCUUAAUCGUGAACAGCCUGAGCAGAAGAGAGUUGUAAGGGAUUUCAACUCACAUAUGCUACUGGGAAGAAGCUCAAGGUUUUUGCAUUCUCGCAAACAUAACCUAUUAAGUUUAUGGGGACACUCAAUAGUGGGUAGUUCAUUGAUGGCAUUUCCCUUUAAACAAAGCUUCCAUAGGGAUUGCACAUCCUCUUGACAUUCCCGGCAAACGGUGGAUAUCAUUGCUUUACCAUGGUUCUGUUCAUGAUCAUGGGCAUAUAUAAGAUGGAUCCCACACUCUUCUACUUUCACUGCUUUACCUCUCAAGUAGCCACAAAAUGAAGCCGUCAACUGCCUCCAUUUAUUUGAGUGGUACUUCUCCCCAAUCUCAUACUUAGGAUAAUAAAUCAUCCACAUAUAAGGUACAACAUUGCCGUAAAAUGAGGGAUAAAACUGGAGUUUAUCCACAAACUGAAUUUCAUGACCACGCAAAGUCAAACCAUACUCGAAGUAAGUUGCAUCAUUCUCCAGUGUCUCCUCAGAUUCAUUAUCAAGUGGAUAAUAGACAGAGUACAAAACAAAACCCAACAAGUCGUCAUUUUUAUACCAAUUUUGAGGAAGCUUUGCUACUACUUCAGCUCCCUUUUUGUGAUGGCUUAUCCAAUUUGGAAUUCCACAACUUUCUGAAAUAAUAAGAUUUACUCGGGCAAAAGGUUUUUCUAAAGGAUAAAUCUUGCAUUCCAAAUCCUGCAGAAAAUUUAAUUAACACGUAAAUCCCCAUGUCUCCACAAAAAAAGUUUUGGUCUAUGAAUAUCAUACCUGAAUCAAUGAUUUGAAGCAGUUGAAUAGAGAAGACCAGAGUAGACCUGAAGAAGUUUCCAGCCGUUUGCACGAUUGUACAUCUAAGACACGCAAACUGGAUGGAAGCACUGGAAUUUGUCGAAGCUCUUGACAGUUACUCAAGACAAGGAGUCUCAGCCUAGAAAGUUGAUUGAUCCCAGCAGGUAUGCUCCUAAAAAGAUUCCCGAUUAGAAGUAAUUCUUGCAGAGAUGAUAGCUGGCAAAUUUCAGUGGGGAUUCCUCCUUCAUCUAUACCGCAGAAAGAUAGAUCUAACACUUCCACGGAGUACAAGCAGCAAAUAUCACUCAGGACUACUCCUUGCAUUAGCUUUGAGUAAAUAAGAUCCAACUCCUUUAAGGAGCAUAAACCUGACAAAGAAAGCAAUUGGCAACAUCUUGAAUUUAAGCCCCUAGCACGGAGACGCUUCAAGCUUUGCAGCCUCCCCAGGUUUUGUGGCAAUUUGUGGAGUUUUGAACAGAAAUUGACAUUGAGAUCCUCAAGAAAGCGUAAAUUACAAAUGCUUUCUGGAAGAGUCACAAGGUUUUUGCACCUCCCCAGAUUCAAAACUUGAAGCCUAUUCAAACGUUCGAUUGAAGAUGGUAGCUCUUUUAUAGCCGUUCCAUUCAAGUGAAGCUGCCUUAAGUUUUCCAUAGUCUCCAAGAUUUCUGGGAAGUACUGUAAUUGUGAACAGUCAGAGCAAAAGAGAGAUUUUAGGGAUUUGAACUCCCAAAUGAUUGUUGGUAGACUCUCAAGGUUUUUGCACUCUCGCAAACAUAAGGUAUCAAAUUCAGAGGCACGCUCAAUGGGUGGUAGGCUGAUUGUCUGACACUUUAAACAAAGCUUUCGGUGUUCCACAUUCCUCUGACAUUCAGCGCAGCUAGCUUCCACAUCCUCAGUCUGUACUAUUGGAUCUUGGGCGUAUAUAGGUUCAAGCCCACACUUGAGCACCUUAAAAUGAUUGCGACAGCCCAUAAAUAUAGCCCCAAGAAAAAUGGAUGGAUUGGUGUGACAGCUCUCCAGAAUAGCAGCCUUGGGAUAGAAUAUCACCCACAUUUGUUCUGAUCCACCUCCAUCAUGGUAGCAUUUACAAGUAGUGCGAAAACUCAGAUGUUGCACACACAGUGUAGAAAAUCCAUAUCUAUCAUGCAAUGACAAUUGACAUUCUAACUCAGUGGAGAUUGAAGAUUCAGCUUCAAGAAAAUCGUCAUAUUCAUUUAGGGCUUCAUCAUCAGAUUCAUUCUCCGAUUUAUGUGCAAAAUCAUUUUCUGGUAUGUCCUCACAUUCAUCAAGUGGAGCAUAAACACAGCAUAUAGCAAUUCCCAAGAAGUCAUUAUUUUCGUAACAAUUCCGAGGAAGGUCCAUUGUGAUCCUAUUUUCCUUUCUCUGAUUCCUUAUCCAGUUGGGAAUUCCACAGCUUCCCGGAACAACAAUACAGAUUCCAUGGCCAAUGAAGUAAGAAUCAGAGAGAAAUACUACGUUUGAACUGCUCUUGUAUUUCAAAUCCUGUACAAAAGGACAAUGUAAAUCCUGUGGGUCUGUGGCAUUAUGUGAGUUUUUAUGAGAUAGUUUGUUGUCAGUUUUUGAUAAAUUGAUUCCCAGUUUUAACUUUCUUUGAUCUAUGCUCCUGAAUCUACUUAAUAUCCCUUUUAGAUGACGGAUUAUCAAUCAACGUGAAAGUGAGUGACAAGAUUAAGUGUGAAAACUGGAAGUGAGGGGAAACUGAAACUGAAAGUGAGUAGAAUAACCAGAUCUCGUCUUCACUUGCAGUAGCUUCUUCUCCAUACAGAUUCAGAGAUCUUAAAAUUGUAGAUUCAACUUAACUCUCAGAAUCUUAAAGACAAAGUUCGCUCAAGUUUCAAAAACUCACAGAAAAAUUUCUCCUCAUGUUUCUCUUAAUCCUAUAAGGCGAGAGACAUGUAGCACAAACUUAUUGGCUUUUUUCCAUGCAAGUUUCAAGGUGGAGCGUCUAAUGAUAUAAAACAUUCCCUCAAAUCCCAGUGGAAAUUCACACUUGAAAUUGCAGAAUUUGCUAAGGGAAACUUUAAUUCAUUUCAUCCAUGAAUAAAAAAGUAUGUGAAGGCAUUUUAACUUCCUAAUAAUUGUUAUGUUAAACUAUAAUUCUCAUUAUUUAAACUCAUGAUCCUUCACUUCAUCACCACAUUUUGAAGAGACUUUUGUCAUCUCUUCCAUGAAUUAAUUGAUGUUUAAGGAGGUAUAAUAAACUUUUAAUUGAAUUUAACAUUAUUUAUAUCGUUAUACUCAUCUUAAACUAUUAUUUUUUUUAUACUCUUAUCAAAAUAAAUUAAAACUUAACAAAAAAAAAAUUAAAGAUUUCAAAACAAACUUUAUAAAUUUAUCAACACUUAUUUACAUCAUUCUUUAAAGAAAUAAAUUUAUAAUUAAAAAAAAAAGAAGUGAUUUAAGAAUUAUAAAGAAGAAAAUUUUAAGAAAAAAUGUACUAGUUAUUUGAAAUAAAAUAUAAGGGAAAUCAAAAUUCUUAGUAAAUGAAUCCUCAAAAAAUUGUAACAGCUAUGCAAAUGAGAAAAAAAAUUAAAAGUAAAAAAAAAUUAUCAAUGUCAAGAAUGAGAAACAAUUUUUUUCUUUUUCUUUUCGUAAGUUUUUUUAUUCUUAUUUAAUGUAUUCAUUACAAUUUUUAAAUUAAUAAAUAAAGUUUUUAUCACAAAAUUUUAAAAUGCCAUGUAUGCUUCAAAAUUUAUAUAUUGUUAUUAGAUUUUUAUAAAUUUCAUUUAUAUCUUCAAAAUUACAAUUAUUAAACUCACAUUUUAAAAUAAGAUAUCAUAUAGUUAUUUUUUCAUCCUUUAGCAAUAUAAAACGUUUUCGUACUUUAAUAAAAAAAACUUUUUUUUUUCUAAAUAAUGACUAUUUUGUAUAAUAUUAGUAUAAACUAUUUAACAUAUAAGUACUACUCAUUCAAUAGUUUAUUUUUUUAAUUUAUUAGAGAAAGAGUGGUGCAUAUAUAAUUCAAAUAAAAGGUAAUUUCAUAUUGCAAAAAAGUUUGUGGAAAAAGGAAAUUUGAACAAGCAUUGAAAUUUAUAGGAACAAUAUUGGAAACCUAGUUUUAGGUUUGUCCCAUACCAACAAUCAUGACUUGGUAGUAGCCUAAUCUCAUAUCUAACUUUGUCAAGCCCUUCCUUUACUAAGUUGAUCAAACAAGUUGUUAAAAAGCAUAAUACAAUAUUUUUCACUUUCACCUUGUUGAGUCUUCGAUAAUCUAUACACAUUCAAAGGGAUCCAUUAUGUUUCUUUUAGAAUAAUAUUGGUGUGGCAUACGAAGCUUUAGUUUGUUGGAUGUAUCCCAUGUUAAGCAACUCCUUAAGUUGUUUCCUUAGUUCUUCUAAAUUACGUAGUGCCAUCCUAUUGGACCUCCAUGGCAAAGGGCUUAGCUCCUGGCUCUAAAUCAAUCUUGUGCUCCCCUUCCCUUAUUUGUGUGAAUUUCUUAUGUAAAUUUAAUGGCAUCUAAGGAUGACAAAGUUUGAUACAAUUUGUACGUCAACCAGACUUGAACCCGAGCAUUUUUAGUGAGUUUGUGUUUCCAUACCGUAAGUUGGAUUCAUGAAAGUCUCAGACUUGAAUCAAUUGAAUUAAAAAUAAAUAUUCAUGUUGUUAUUAAUUUAGUUUCUUUUACUUAGUUUUACUAAAUAAAAUUUUAUUCACAUAUUGUUUUUCACUUUAGGAUUUAAAUAAAAGUGAUUCAUUUAUCCUAGUAUUGACAAAUUCCAUAGCCAGACCUAGAGGAUGAUACUCGGAGUACUAUAAAAGUUGUAGUGACUUUUUCUCUGAUUUUUCUUAAUCAAAGUUACUACAUAAAAAGACUUAGUAUUUGAACAAUAGAGAAGAAUGGUCAAAAUUCAAGUAAAAUGGAAUGAUUAAUAUUAAUGAAUUUUUACCAUAAUAAAGAAUGAUACUUGAUUCUAGACUACUUAGGUAUGGAUUAAAAGAUUAACAUUAGAUAGAAUAACUCACGUAUAUUAAAGCAUUUUGCUAAGUUCUUUUUAUCCUUGAUCUUUUAUGAGAUUGAGCCAAUAAGGUUACACUUAAAAAUUUAAUGUGUUUGAAACACUCCUCUAAAAUCAAUCAUUCAAAUAUUAGAAAACAAGUAAAAUAUUUUUCAUAUGCUGAUUAAUAUACCCAAGGUAGUUCUUGAAUUAUCCUAACACAAAUAUCUUGCGAGUCUUAAUUUUGUCAAAUCAAUAUAUAUCUUUAGAUUUCUAAAGAAACUACUAUACUCGCGCACAUUCAUCCAUGAGUUAGGUAGAUUUUAUCUCUUGUAAGAGUUCAAAGAUACUGCAAACAAAAUUCACUGUACAAUUAAUAUCUCUCAAUGGUAUGUUAUUCAACUAAAACUAGUAGUGUCUUAUGUUAAUGGGCUUAGUUUUAUAAUGUAAAACUAGAUCUUUAAUACAUUAAUAGCUCUCAUGUUAUCACAAGGCAUAAUUAUGAUUUAUCACUCUCACCAUAAUCCUUUUAACAUACGUUUUAUCGAAAGUAAUUGCUUGGUUUGUUAGCUUCUUAUUAAGCUAGGCAACUGAGCAAUUAAAAUAUAGAAACAUCCCCUAUAAGUGUUCUUCCGUUCUUUAGACCUUCCAUCCCUAUUCAACAUUUGUAUGAAAAAUGUUGUCUACAAAUAUAUUGGUGUAAUACCACAAUCCAAGUUUAUAAGUACCAACCACAAAUAUAAUGAUUCUAUUAACAACUCCAAGGUGUGAUUUCUUAGGAAGAUUCUUAUCACGCAUAAACUCCAGUUCUAUAGGUUUAUCCAGCCUAAAUGUCAUUACAUAAAGAAGGCUUCCAACCAUUGAUCUACAGGUGGAUAGAUUUACAAACUUACCACUCCCAUCUCUUGUAAAAAUUUUCCUACAACUUUUCUAUUGUCGUGACCUAGCUAAGUUCAGCCAUUUUAAUUUAGCUUAUAGAGAGGGCCCCAUCGCUAACAUUUCCAAUCACAUUGUUGAUAGGAUGAUCACUAAUUUCUCUAAUUUUGCUCCAUGUGGAUGUUUGCUUGAUUUUCAUUGAGUUCAUUCACAUUCUCAAUCAUUCAACUCUUUUUUCUCACCUAAAUCUAGAAUGUUUGAUGAAAUAUCCUUAAGAAAAACACAUUAUUUUCUUUACUUCCUUAGUCAUCUAUCAAUACAUUGAUCGAUUCAAUUACAACUCUUUAAUUAUUAAAGAAGAUCUUAAAGGCUUUAAGCCAAGUUGAGUAUCUAACAAAAAUUCUUUCAACAUGCUUUGAUUCAAACAUCCCUAAUUUUUUAGAAUUGUUUGGAUAAGACAUUGUUCCUAAAAACUAUAUUUUACAUUAAGCUUCCUACUUGUCUAAACAUCAUAGCAAGUCCUUUUGGUUCUAACGUAUAGGUGGACUCAAUUAGAAGUACAAGAUGUUGUGUUUAUGGGUUAACCUGACAAGUUGUUAGAGCCUUUGGAUUAAUCCAUUCUAAACCUAGGAUCGUUGGGGUGUUUGCAAAAACUAUCUUAAGGAUCUUUAGAUCUACCCAACAAAAGCAUAUACAUGAAAAAAAUACACCUGCAAACUUUAUGUUUCCAAAAUGAUUUCAGUCUAUGAAGAAGCUAGUGCAAAUCUCAAAAACCAAGAGAUCUUUUGCUCAAUGGCUCUCUUUCCUGGAUCUAGGCACUUGUAGAUGGUGAAAUCCUCAUAGAAGGGUGGAUGCUAAGGUUCCUCUCUCUAGAUUCUAAAGAAAUGGAAGAAGAAUAAAAAAGUCCUAACCCUUAAAUGGGUUUAUAUAGGAUUCCCUAUGGGCUUAAGUGACUUGAGUCUAUCUUAGGCUUAGGGGUCGCUAAAAAAAGCCCACUUGGAUCUUAGUUAAAUAAUUAGCCCUAUUAAGGUCCAAUUAAUUAAUUAUCCUUUUCCAAAAACAUCAUUCAUAAGAUCUAAAACAACUUUGCAUUUUUACCAAAACACCCUUAUGCACAUGUAUGAAUAAAUAACCUAUACAUCCCUUAAGUAAUGUGUCACAUAGAAGUAUGAACUCAAGUAGGGACCAUUAGGAGUGGUAGGAAAAUAGUGGCUCCUGUAUAAUUUAAUUCUAAAGUUGACUUAACAUCCUUCUACAAAAAAUCAAUUGCACUCUAAUAUCCUAUGAUAUUACAUUAAUAUAAAAUACAUGGGUUUGUGACCUACUAACGACUAAAAGCUAGCUCCUCAUGAAUUGGCGUCCAUAAUAUAACAAGGUGAACACUUUCAAUCUUUUAAGAUUAACUUUACAAUCCUUAUGUUAUAGAUCAUCCCAUUAAGUGAUAAAUUGACAUACUAUAACCCACAACGAACAUAUGGUAACUUCUACUAAACGAAUUACUGCAACCAUAGAUUUUGUCAUGACUACCUCAAUAGCUAAUGUCAUAAUUCAUUGUAAAUUUUGUCUAAUGUGCAAUAAUAUAUACUAAUGCACUCACCUUAGAAACCUCAUCCGAAUGACUAAGAUAAGUCAACUCGCUAAUUAGAAGGUAGUGCACUAUAAUCUCAAAUGGAUUGCCUAAAUUCAUCAACCAACUAUGAACAAAUCAUAAAUCUUGCAAGGAACCCAUGACUUGAAUCUUUCACAUAACUGCUAAUGUACUUAAGUUAUGUAUAAUACCACUACUGCAUGCAUGAAUACUCAAAUCAAUAUCAAUGUGAACAUGGAUAAAUUAGUGGAAACUCAAGCCUAACGGUGUUACAUCAUCUCUUGCUUGCAAGGGCUUUACCUUAACACCAAUAAUCAGGUAGGUUCUUGAAAUCCAAUAUAAUAUGUGCUAUUUCUUGGAGCACUUUAUUUUUCCUUUCAAUAACUUCAUUUUCUAUGGAGUUUUAGAUGUUGAAAGCUCUUCUUUAAUUUCCUUCUCACAAAAACUCUAGAAGUUAGAAUUACAAACUCAUUUCCUCUAUUAUUUCUUAUUUUUCUUACUUAAAAUUCAUUUUUAUUCAUCAUUUGAAAGCAUAACACUUUGAAUUUUAGGAUGUACUUCUUUCUUUCUAAGCAUUGCACUCUCAUAGGACCUAUGAUGAAAAUAUCGUUAAUCAUGGAUAUAUCGAUACUUCGAUUUUACGGAUAUAUCGGAGAUAUAUCGACGGAUAUUUUGGAAAAAAAUAUCGAUAAGUCUAAAACUGAUCAGAAUUUGUAAAAAUAUAAGAAAAACUUCAUAAAAAUGUAAUGAGAAGUAUAAUGAUAUUUUUAAACUGUUUUAUUAAAUAAUUUGAUAUAUGUAUAAUAUGAUUUAUCAUAUUUGAUAAUAAUAUCGUAUGCAUCGACAAAAAUAUGAAUUUUAUAAGUGUACAUUUAUUAUUAAAUUACAUUUAAUAUUAUGAUAUUUGAUUAUAAUAUGUAUAAUUUUAAAAUAUAUAUUAAUAUUAAAAUUAUGAUACAUUUAAUUCAAUUGUAUUAAACAAUAUAAAAUAAAUUAUAAUAUAUGUACAAUUUUUUAAUAUUUAAUUAAUUAUUAAUGAUAUUAAAAGCACUAUGAAGAAAAUUUUAUAAUUUUAAUAUUUUUGGUAAUCAAUUAAAAGAAAAUUUUGCAUUUAAUUAUAAAAUAAUUAUAAUUAAUUUGCUCUUUAAAAUAUUUUUUUUAAUAUUUUCCUUAUAUAAUAAGUUUAACUAUAUAUAUGUUUAGUACAUAUCAUAUAAUAAGGGUAAGUUAGCUUGGAUGGCAAGUGGGUUGAACCUCAAACCUUUUGGUUUGGGGUUCGAAUCCCCUCAACUUCAAAAUGAAGGGUUAUCGCUGAUUUUUUUGGAUUUCUCUCGAAAUUUCGUCAGAUCGAUAUUUCUCCAUGAAAUAUCGUAUCGAUACCCUCCGAUACAUGAUACAUUGGCGAUAUAUUGCCAACAUAUCGCAAUAUUUUCUUCCUUGCAUAGGACCCAUUAAAUCCAUAUGUAACAUCUCUAAGAGCCUAGAAAAAGAGAACAUCAUUUUUCUAUCACUCAUGUGAAUUCAUUGUCCUAGGUAGGACAAAUAGGAUUUUUAGGCUUUCCUAAAUGGGAAUUGCUUUAAUUAGUUCUUUAUUUGUAAUCCUAGACAAAUCAUUAGAGUUUAAAUGCGCUAUCAUACAAUGCUACAUGUCUUUGGAUGUAGAUUUCACAUUUUACAACUAUGUGCACUAUAGAUGAUGAGGAAAAAGUAGAGAGGUGUACAAAAGCAUAACAAAAAUUAUCAAAAAUUCUAUUUCUUACCAACACACAUCCUUGAAUAGACACUGAUUUUGAGUAAAAUGAACAAAGCACAUACAAUCACAAAUUUAACUUGCGUUAAUUAAGUUUGCUUUCAAUCACUCAAUAUAUAGUAACUCCUCGAGUAUAGGUAAAUUUGGACCUUCUAUGGUACAUUUCGCUUUCAAGUUGGUUAUACAUAAUGCAACCAUCCCCAAAUACAACCAAGCUUCCCUUUAUAGGUUCAAACAUGGAGAAAGACUUUAAGUUCAUUGUUGCUUUUACCAUUCCCAAAUACAACCAAACUCCUAUGAGUUCAAAAUUCAAGAAAGAUCUAAGUUCUCUCUCAUACAACUAGAGUAGCCACUCUCAAAAUCCAAAACGUGUUUUUCUCUAGCUCUUAGGCCCUAUGAUCAACUAAGGCUUUUAGGUUCUCCGUAACCCAGAUUUUCUUUCCAAUGGGCGAUUUAAAACCUAUUCAAGAAUUGUUUUUAAAAUUAAUUUUUCAGUUCUUAAAAAUAGAAACCUAUUUUCUAGACUAAAACCAUGUUUGGCAACUUUUUGACAUAUUAUAGUUUGUUGAGAAUUUGUUCUGAAAAUAAGGUUUCUCCUAAUAACAUAUUUUAAUUGCUUUCAAUUGUUUUCAUUUAUUUUAUAGGGUUGUUUUAAGAAAAUAAUAAUAAAAAUAUAAAGAAUGAUGAAACAUAAACUAAAAACAAAAGUUAUUUUUAAGAAAUAUUUGAAAAUACAAAAAAUAUAUUAAAAAUGUUCUAAGUUUUUAAAUAGGCUUUUAUUUUAGAAGACAUUAGACCAACUAUUUUUGAAAACUUUUUUCAAUAACGGUUUUUUGAAGAAUUAUUUUCAAAAAAAUUCCUAAACAAACCCCUAACCUCUGAGGAUCUAAAACUUUGCACUAAGUUUGGCUUACAUUCAACUUCUUUUAUGGACAAAGCAAUGGAGCUAGAACAGAUUUCUUUCAAUUUAGUCAAUUCUUAUUUACGUGGCUCAUAAUCAGAUUGUAAGACAUUCAAUUUUUUUAACAAGGCACCAUGCUCAUUUUCAAGGUAAGAGAUUUUUUUCAAGCAAGGAAAUCUUCUCUCAUACUUCUUUUAUUCUCAUCCAACUUUCACAAUUUUCAUCUUAAGGCACUGAUCAUACAAGGCUUCCUAGGCAAUCUCAAAUUACAACUUUUCUUCCAAAUAUGUUGUAUCAUGAGAUGAACCUUCAAAAUUUUCAGAUUCAAGAUCAGUUUCAAAUUUAACAUUUUUCUUUUCAUUGCGAAGUGAUAUAGAAGGUUACAAGUAUAUCAACAAUUUCGUCAAGCAUAUCGUGCUCUAAAAGACACAAAUAUCAUCAACAUCAUGUGAUAAUAAUCAUAAUUAUGUUUAUGCAUGUUUCUAGCAAAUUAAUGCAAUGAAAUUUGUACACUCUUCAUCAAAAUCAUACCAAAUUACUUCUAUGACCUUAUCCUUCUGACAUUCAAGUAAGUGACCUUUCUCCACACAGUAGAAACCUUGAAUCAACUAGAUCUUUUUUGUGUUUUUUUUUUCUUUUUAUCACAUUUCUUUUCCCCUGUUUAUGGUCUCAAAUAGGUUAUCCUCUGUUUCUUGAAGCUUUUUGAACUUUUUGAAACUUUAUCAAGCCUAUAAAUUUCAAAUAUUGGUCAUUUUUUAUUCCUAUUCUGAUUUAAAUGCAUGUUCAUCUACUUUUAGUGCAAUAUUAAUGUUUCUUCCUCUUAGGAACAAUUGGGGUCAUCUCUAAUUGAAGGGAGCCAACUAUCUCAUCUAGCUUAAUUGAAUCAGCAGUGUUCCAUUCCUCUAUUGUUAUGACCUUAGGUCUAAAACGAACAGAGAAGAUCUUAACAGUUUUCAGGUAACCUUGGAAUCAAGUAAAGGCCUACAUAGAUUGAAAGUUAGCAUUCACAAUGUCCAUGAUUUCAAUAAUAUAUUCAAAAAAUAUUUUUGUUGUGAUCAUUUGAAAUUCAUUCCUUCACCUAUCCUACCUUUACAUAGUUUUACCUACCCUAGUGGAUAUAUAUCCUAUCUCUAUUUAGCACCAUAUGAGGAUAUCAACCAAAUUGAACAGAACUCCAAUCUCUGUUAGACUUCAUUUUAAGGAAGUAUAUCAGUUUUACCUUGGAAUGAGCAUAAUUAUCUCCUUUGAAGUAUGGAGGUCCACCUAUAGAGGUUCCUUCUCGGAGAAUUUCCAUCUUAAGAGAAUAUAGUUUAUCCGUAUUGAGAACAUGAGCAAACAUGUUUUGAUACAAUUUAUGAGUUUUUAAGAGAGUAUGCUAUGAACUUGAGAUCUCUUUUAGAUGAUCAAAUAACAUAUGCACAUGAAUGUCAUUGAGUGAUUAGCACAAGGUCACAAACCUCCCUAAUGAAAUCUCAACCAAAAAGCACACAAAUAUUGCACAAGAUAUAACAUAAAAAAAAUCUCUAAGUGGAGAAAGGAAAAAAAAAAAAAAACCAAUGGGUGCCUUUGUUGUUGCAAAUCCACUAUGAAUAUAAAUCCAGUUUUGCCUACAAUUCCCUCCACCAGUGAAAACAAAUGGUCUUAUAUGAUCAACUCCAUUUACUAUAGGGUUAUAAAGGAAACACUUGUGGGCUGGCAGGCAGUAGCUCCUCCCAACUCAUCAUAUUUCCAACCCCAUUUGCUCCAUCAAAUUCAUAAGAAGCUAACAAAACAACUAGCAUUUUAUAUCAUACAAUAUCUAUGCUAGUUAAUUUGCAUGGAAAAGACAAUUUCUACCCUAAAUAUGCCAACAUACAGGAAGACAUACAAUUUAUACAAACAUUGUACGCUAACACAAGAAAAUCAUACCUCACUUGCUGAUUUGAGGCAAUUCACCAGAGAAUGCAUAGGUGGCAAUGAGGUCCCAAUUGAGCUGUGCAUAUCUAACAGUCGCAGACUUGAAGGAAGCUCUGGAAUUUGUGAAACCUUCUUGCAGUGACUCAAGUCAAGGGCUCUAAGGUUAGAGAGCUGACUAAUACCCACAAGCAUGUCACUGAGGGUUCCUCCUUCCUCUGGAUUGCACCGACUUAGAUGUAAUACUUCCAGAGAGGAUAGAUGGAAAAUACAAUGGAAGACUCCUCCAUUUAGAUUGCAGUUUCUUAGACUUAAUUCUUUCAAUGCGUUCAAGCAGUUAUCACUCUUUAUUACUCCUGGUGUUAGAUUGCAUUGAUCUAAAUAUAGUUUCCUUAAGAGAGAUAAACCUGACAAAGAAGGCAAUUGACAACUGAGCGAAUUUAAAGAAAGAACCUCUAGACAUGGCAUUCUCUCCAGGUCCUCCGGCAAUCUGUCAAGUUUUGAACAGCCUUCAAGACUUAGAACUUCAAGAAAUCUCAAAUUACAAAUGCUGUUCGGGAGACCUUCAAGGUUUUUACAAUUAUCCAAAUACAAGUUGCGAAGACCUUCUAGAAGUUCAAUCGAUGAUGGUAGCUCUUUUAUAGCUGUAUUAUCUAAACUAAGCCUCUCUAGUUUUCCAAUACUGCGCUUGAUUUUUGGAAAACUAGUUAGUUGUGAACAGCCACUGCAAUGAAGUAUGAAAAGGUGUUUCAACUUAUGAAUGUCCCCAGGAAGAUUCUCAAGUCUUACACACCCUAUAAAAUUCGAGGAAAAAAAAAAGUUAGUUUAAUAACAACACUCUUAUAUGUGUGUGAACCUUAAGUAAAAUUAUACAACCUGAAAGAUUAAGUUCCUCCAAAUUUGGCACGUUUGAGAAAUUUGGUAGUUCAAUAAGCUGUUGUGAAUCAUUGAGAUUGAUGUACCUUAAAUUUCUAAGACACUGGAACAAAAUAGAAUUUCUAUUAAUAAAUCAAUUUUAACCAACUUUAAAAUAUUAUAAAACAAAAGCAUAAAUAAAUGAUUAUCAUACCAUGUUUCCUUUCCAAAGUCGUUUUAUGUUACUAUUGCUCAAACCGAGGAAAACAAGAUCAUUUGGAUGAAAGUUUGGUGGUAGAGAUUCUAAAGAAUAUCCAUCCCAACCGAGACAUGUCAAGUCAUCAGACGGAAAUACAAAAUCUUCAGGAAGUUGUUCUAUGCAAUUGUGGGAGAGGAUAAGCAAUCUAAGUCUAUUCAUCCUUUUGAAAGCUUUGCAUGUAAACUGUAUCUGUUCUGAUGUGUCCAUAUGAAAGAAUAUCCCUUCAAUUUUUUCAGUCCCCUAGAUAAUAAGAGUAUAAAAUUAGAAAAGCACGAUACAUGUAAAUCCUUACUAAGGUGAUAUAGAUGAAUAUAUAUAUAUAUAUAUCUUACCGUGUUUCUUUUCAAUACUCGAUAAAUAUCUGUAUGUCUCCAUAAUCUGCUCCUCUCUCCUGGCUCAUUAGGACAUUCUUCAUCAACAAUGCCCUUGCCCAUUUGGGCUAACAAAUCAUGCAUAUCUAUUGUAUUGUCCUCUAAAAUGGUUAUGAAACAUCUAUCAACGAGAACAUUUAUUCCACUUUCCGCUUCGCAUCCGGAACCAUCCAAUAUUCUUGAAACUGCUUCCACAUCACCUCCUUGAAAGAAACAUGCAAUGUCGAGAAAUAUCAUCUUUUGUGUAUAAUCCAAUCCAUCAAAACUUAUUUUAAGCACUUUUACAAUUUCCAUGUUAGGCACCUUUCCCAACUUCCGCAAUUCGCUUUUCCAAUCUGAUAGUCUCUUUCCAAAUAAUAGAGAACCCAAAACUUUAAGUGCUAAUGGAAGACCAUCAGCAUAUCGUACUACUUGAUGAGAGAGAUCUCCAUAACCUUCCUUCAGAUGAUGUUGUUUAAAGGCAUAAAGACAAAAAAGUUGAAGAGCUUCGUGAAAAUUUAAUUUCUCAACUUCAUACAUUUUCAUUUCAUGCCUAGUUAGCAAAUCUUUUUUCCUUGUAGUAAUGAUGAUUCUACUUCCUGGACCAAACCAAUUAUGCUUUCCAAUCAAGUGUUCUAAUUGUGUCAGCUCAUCUACAUCAUCCAGAAAAACAAGAACCCUUUUCGAGGAAAGCUUGUCCCUUAUUUCUUUGAUACCCUCAUGAACAUUCCUUAAAACUAUUUUCCUCGUUGUCCCUAGAAUAUCAUUAAGAAGUUGUUGUUGUAACUUAAGAAGACCACCAGAAUUUUCUGUGGAUUCUUUUCUGACAUCUGUGAGUAAGCUUACACUUUCGAAUUGAUUUGAGAUUCGGUUAUAAAGAGCAUUGAUGAUGGUGGUCUUGCCGAUACCACCAAGCCCAUAAACCCCGACCAUGCGAACAUCAUUCAACCCAAUCUCCAACAAUGAUAUUAGUCUUUCCAAACGAUAAUCCAUUCCGACAAUGUUCUCGGUAACAGCUAAAGUCUUAGGGAAGCUUCUAGGGACGUUCUCAAUAAUUUUAUCAAUAAGCUCUGUUUCAUACCUGCGAAUUGCAAAGCAUAAUGGGACAUGUGUACUGGCGCAUUAGGAUGAGUUGCAAAAAAUAAUAAAUUAUAUGAAAUAAAUUUAAUGAUGCCUAGUUUUCCAACUAUAACUUAGCAGGGCUAAAAGGAAUUUAAAUUAAAAUAAAAUAAACCACAUCUAUCAAACUACUCAUGAGUACAGUUUCAUUAUUCAAUAUAUAUGAUAGAAAUAAGAGA